GCCCUGGUGGUGUAGCGGUUAGCAUACGAGCCUGUCACGCUCUUGACGCGGGUUCAAAGCCACGCAUUUGGUGAAAUUCCCGCCCAGGGCG
rnacentral:tRNA from 1 species